AUUCUUAUGUCCACCACUGAGACCCGAAAACCUCCACUGACUGGCUUCCCUACAGACUGAGAAUAUGGCAGAAAAGCUUAUAAAUCACAGCUGCCCAUUGUCCAAUCAACAUUCAACAGUGGUUCUUUUGAAAGUGACUGUGAAGAUCUGAAACUCUCAAGGAAACACAGAGAAAUGGAUUACCAGCCACUCCAAAAGGUCGCCGCAACCCCGAGGAAACCACUGUAUAAUCAGAAACAACAAGCCUGCCCAACAAGCAGCUGCAGGACUUUAGGAAGUUUUCUAUGUUCUCAAGAAAUGAACGUACCGACUUCCUUCCAGAGCCCUGGCUUGGUGAUAAUAACAUUAGCAUAUGAGAAAUCAACAUUCUGAAUAGAAAUACAAGCUUAACAAAAGGUAAUCUUCUGCAAAUAUGAAUUUAUGUGCAAAGAAAUGCCCUGAGGGAAUACGAAAUGGAAGAUGUCAGAGCUUCAACCUCUCUGCAUUAAUAAGAGUUCUUCUGUGAUCAGGAGAACUGGACAAUUGCACACGAAGCUGGAAUGUAAAAUAUUUCCCUAUCCCUGUCA
rnacentral:antisense_RNA from 1 species